rnacentral:SRP_RNA from 1 species
GCUGGGCACGGUGGUGCGUGCCUGUAAUUCCAGCUACUCAGGAGGCUGAGGUGGGUGGAUCACCUGAGGUCAGAAGUUCAAGACCAGUCUGGCCAUCAAGGUGAAACCCCAUCUUUA